ensembl:lncRNA
CAACAAAACUUUUAUUUUUUAAAUGUAAAGAACUUUUGCUGUCCAGUUCUAACAACUUCUAUAAAAAUUCCCCAAACCCAUUCUGGACUGACAGCAGUCAGUCUUUGAUGGUGUCAAAUCAAGCAACGCUCCCUGGCUCCCCCCCGCACCCUCCUUUCAAGUCCACAGUGUGCGCCAGACAUUGUGUGCUUCGGCUACAGAGAGAGACAGGGUCCUUGUGGAGGCGGGUCACACUCAGAGAUGGCAGCCACAGAAGGGUGCUUAACUAGGAGAGGAAGUAGCUGGUUUUGCCCACAGCACUGGAAGCUUUACUGUGGCCUCGGGGCUGUUUACAUAAAAAUUUAAGGAACCGGUCUGACAGGGAAGGGAGAUGGAUGGGAAGGGCUGACUGGCACCCACGUGUACCAAAGUACACACGGCAUUUGCUGCAGUCUAUCUGCAGCUUGGAGUCCAAGAUCUUUUUAGGAAGGCUAACCCCUUACCGGGUGUGACGCCUGACAGCUGUGAGGGGGCAGACUGCAGGACGGGUCUGGAGUGAGGUCCUUACAGGAGAAAGGCACCUCUUAUAGGUGUUCUCUAUAGGCACCUUCUAAAGGUAUUUAGCUGCCACUACAUCCCCUUAGCCAUCAGUCACAAGCUGCCUUGUGAUUCUCUUCUCUGUUGUCACUCUCCUGUACUGAAUGGCUCCCGUAUCGUGUGCUCCGAAUUCUACUGAGGGUUCCUAUGGUGGACCCACUCGAGGCUUUAUCCUCGGAGAGGUUCAACUGAACACUUGCAGAACCCCCAGAAGUGUAUCAAGUGAGCGUGUCGUCAUCCAAUUGUUGCUAAGUCCUCAAGUCUGGGGAUAGACCACAGGUAGCUUUGUCAUCUGUUGGGGGCCCAGGAAGGGGUUUGAACAAGGAAAGUUUCAAACAGAGGAGCCCGCCAGUAGUGGGAGUGCGUGUGGACACCGUCUGUGCAAUACUGAGAGGUCGGUGAGCACUGCUCAUCAGAGCUUCAGCAACCCGCCUACUCCCAGCAGUCUCUCAGCCCCAUGAGCACCCGCUAAGAUUUUCUAAGCUCCAUCGCUUCAAAGAAGACCUCUUCUCUUUAUUCCUCCCCAUGCCAGCCCAGCAUGCAAUGGUCAGAUGCCAGGCAGGAUCCUGUUACAUAGGGACCCAGAGACAAAAGGCAGUCUCUACUUUCAAGUAGCUUGUGAAGAACAAAACAUCAGAUUAGAAUACAGUUGUUAAAUCCUCUCAGAUUUCCCCCUCCCUCUUCUCCUUCCAGCCAUUUGGCUUUCUGUUUCUUUCUUUUUCUUCCAAAAAAGGAGCUGAGGGACGUGAGCCAGGCCUGGUAAGAGGGAAGCUGAUGGGGUUGGGGGCCUGUACCUGUGAUGACUGUCACAGGCAUGGUCAUCAGCCAGCUAAGUGGAAGGGGAACGCACUGUGGGGCAGAGGGGCCUGGCAUAUCUCCUGGGAGCUCGGCUAGAACCUGGAACUUGGACAGCCAGGAAAGAACUGGUUUGCCUUUCAGAAAGACUGGUCCGGAGCAGUGUAGAAAGGCGUAUGGAAAGUGACUCCGAAGUCAGAAACUAAAAUACACAUUGUAUCGCCAAAGCAGAAAUGCUAAGUCCUUAACCUGGAAUGAUGUGUGUAAAGUGAGUGUGUCAGAGGUCACUGUGGAAGCAUCCCUUCAGAGCAGGAAGCAAGUUACACACAGCUUAAGUACCGGCCACCAGGUGGCAGCCUCACACAGCCAAUGCAGUGGGAAAUUAAAGCCAUCUAAACUGGAGGCAAUAGGGCUCC